CGUUCCUAGUUGUAUUAAUUGAUUCAUAGUAUAACUUAACUCCCUAUCAAUGGAAGCUCUACCAAUAAGCGCUGCAUUGUGCCCCAGCCUCGCAGGUGCAGGAAGGACCUUGGCGGGAAGAAGACUGAUUAAAAACUUCAAAACAGUUACACUGUUUUGUUAAUAUUUCUUCAAGGUCCUGACUUUACCAUAAAUUGUGCAGCAAGAUGUUCCACCAAACUUAGUUCCUGGUCUCCUACUUCUUGGCAGGUUUUAGAUCUGCGCUGUAUUCUCGCAGUUCCUUUUUCCUAUGCAUAUACUUCUUUGAAAAUAGGAUACGAAGAGGCAUAAGGCAUGGGAAAAUGGAGCUUCUGGGGUCCUCUUCACGUCUGAGGUCACUGACACUGUCAAUCAUUCAGGAAGACAUGGAGGAGUUACAAUACUGUAUCGUGGGUGUAUGAGUCCAACAGUUAAUAAACAUAUUUAUGUCCGA